AGUGAACGCUGGCGGCAUGCCUUACACAUGCAAGUCGAACGGUAACAGGUCUUCGGAUGCUGACGAGUGGCGAACGGGUGAGUAAUACAUCGGAACGUGCCUAGUAGUGGGGGAUAACUACUCGAAAGAGUGGCUAAUACCGCAUGAGAUCUACGGAUGAAAGCAGGGGAUCGCAAGACCUUGUGCUACUAGAGCGGCCGAUGGCAGAUUAGGUAGUUGGUGGGAUAAAAGCUUACCAAGCCGACGAUCUGUAGCUGGUCUGAGAGGACGAUCAGCCACACUGGGACUGAGACACGGCCCAGACUCCUACGGGAGGCAGCAAUGGGGAAUUUUGGACAAUGGGCGCAAGCCUGAUCCAGCAAUGCCGCGUGCAGGAUGAAGGCCUUCGGGUUGUAAACUGCUUUUGUACGGAACGAAAAGCCCCGGGUUAAUACCCUGGGGUCAUGACGGUACCGUAAGAAUAAGCACCGGCUAACUACGUGCCAGCCGCCGCGGUAA
rnacentral:rRNA from 1 species